AGCCCUACACGGGCAACAUUCCUGGAGGUCUGGGAACCAGCAGGACCAUCACAGUGCGAGGCUUUAUUCUGAAGGACGCUAAAAGCUUUGAAAUCAAUUUAAAGGCUGGCCAGAAUAUUGCUCUGCACCUUAAUUCACGCAUGAAACCAAGGAGAUAUGUGGUGCGCAACACUUGUCUGAAAGGCAGCUGGGGAGAUGAGGAAAAUGAUUUGCCCUUUAACCCUUUCCAUUUCGGGCAAUACUUUGAGGUCUCGAUCUGCUGUGACAAAGAAAAGUUCAAGGUUUAUACCAGCGGCCGUCACCUGUUCAACUUUAACCAUCGUUAUGCCACUAUUCAACGUAUCCG